rnacentral:misc_RNA from 2 species
AACGCACCUUGCGCCCUUUGGCUAUUCUGAAGGGCAUGCCUGUUUGAGUAUCAUGAACACCUCAACUCUCGCGGUUUGCCGUGAUGAGCUUGGACUUUGGGGGUCUUGCUGGCCUAUGGUCGGCUCCUCUCAAAUGGAUCAGCUUGCCAGUGUUUGGUGGCAUCGCAGGUGUGAUAACUAUCUACGCUUGUGGUCUCCCACCAGGUAACCCUCAGCGAUGGGGGUUCGCUGGAGCUCAUAAAUGUCUCUCCUCAGUGAGGACAGCUUUUGAACGUUUGAUCUCAAAUCAGGUAGGACUACCCGCUGAACUUAA